rnacentral:rRNA from 1 species
UACGGGGGGGGCAAGCGUUGUUCGGAAUUACUGGGCGUAAAGGGCUCGUAGGCGGCCAACUAAGUCGGAUGUGAAAUCCCCAGGCUCAACUUGGGAACUGCAUCCGAUACUGGAUGGCUUGAAUUCGGGAGAGGGAUGCAGAAUUCCAGGUGUAGCGGUGAAAUGCGUAGAUAUCAGGAGGAACACCCGUAGCGAAGGCGGCACUCUGGGCCGAUUCUGACACUGAGGAGCGAAAGCGUGGGGAGCGAACAGG